UAACUCUGGUUUCUCCUCACCCGGAGCGGAUAAAUCUUUCACCUUUUACUAAAGAUUUCCGUGGAGAGGAACAUUUUAAUGAGUCUAUAUA
rnacentral:snRNA from 1 species